GGGGAUGAGCCACAGCCUGGAGGAGCUGAGGAGGCCACAUCACAUGAGGAAGCUUUACUGUUUCCCCUUCUCCUGAAAUGUGUCUGGGAUGGAGAGUGUGGAGAGUGGGCCCACCUUUAUCUGGGUCCACUCAGGCUGCUGCAGAGACUACCCCAGACUGGGUGGCUGAUAGACAAGACAUUCAUUUUCCACACUUCCUGAGACUGGGAAGUCUGAGAUGAAGAAACCUGGAAGCAAGGAAGCCGCCACCAUGAUGCAGCGGGGAGUCCAAGGCCCUGGGAGGUCAUAUGACUCAUUCACGGUCAUCCUGCUGUGGCAGAGAUGCGAUGAAGCCCUGGCUUUGACCCCAACCCCAGGUGCCAGAGUCUUCCCUGCCCUGUACAGCCCUGCUCAUGCCAUGGUCUCCUGUGGACGUUCCCUCCUUCCCACGUUGGCGGUAUUGCUGUCCAAGCUUUGCAGGGGAGGAAUCUGAGGAAUUGAGAAGUCAAGUAACACACCCAAUAGGAUAACUAGGCCUUCUUGGCAGCCAACCUCGAAGCACCACAUCGGGCUUUGAAAUGUGCGGGGCCUUUGAGAUUCAGCGCAUCUGAAUCUGAAUUUAUGCCCUCUCACUUGCUGGAAUCUACUGAUCUGUCCACUGUUCCUGGAAGAAAUACUUUGUUUUCAUGUGCCAGUUGCCUUUCCAGCCUGACUGUCAGCCCAAGGUCGCAGGAGAAGAUCUGAUUGCAUGUCCUUGCUUUUGCUGCUCCCAUUCCAAGAACCAGCUUCCUCCUCUGGAAGGUCGACUGAGGGGUGCUUGACUGGACUUGGCUCAAGGCUGCAAGUGGUCCAGGUCUGCUCUGUGUGUCUUUCAUCCUCCCCAACCAGUUAGAAAACGUGAUAUCCUCUUCUACGAUGAUGAUGGAAAUACAAAAUUGGUGUUCAGGCACUUCAGGACCUCUCACCUCUGUGAAGGGACUUGGGAGACACCCAGAAAAUGAUGAAAAAUGGAGUGAAUGAGACAUUAAGCCAGUUGUGCACCAUUACCCAGCUCGCAGCCCCAUCUCCUGAGGCCAGUUGCCUAGUGGAUGCUGGAGGCAGCAUUUGGACUCAGGCAGUCGAAUCCCAGAGCCCGAAUCCUGCCGUUCUCACUGUCAUCCUGGAGCUCCAGAGCCUGUGGUCACUCAGCUGGCAACCUCACAGGCAGGCCAGCCCCUCCCCAAGCUCAUUUUCCUUAUGGCCUUGCACUGACCUCAACUUUCUUGGACAUCAAAUGGACCCACUGGGCCGCUCCAGGUGUUUCCUUGCCUCCUCUUCUGAAAAUUCGGGACCGCCAUACAGACACCUCCCGGCUCUUCUGUGUGGUCAGGCGCCCUGUCCAUCUUCCUCGCGCUGACUCUCCAGACUCUUUGGAAAGAGUAAAUCCGUGUGCAGAGCACCUGGCUCCAGAGCUUUGGGGCCUCAGGUACGGCCACAUCCCCAUCCUAGCAGCUCUGGCUCAGAGGCCUUCCGCGGGGUCUCAGGGCCAAGGCUGGCCGAGUGUUCCCUGCCCCACAGGCCCAGCGUGGAAUCUCGUUUCUGCCUUCUGCAGAGGGCAGCCUGGAGAGCGCCUCCCGCCACCUGAGAACCAGAGAGGAUGCGAGGAGCCACCGAGAGAGGUCCAGGGCCCAAGUUAG
rnacentral:lncRNA from 1 species